AAUCUUGCGCAAUGGGCGAAAGCCUGACGCAGCCAUGCCGCGUGAAUGAUGAAGGGCUUAGGAUUGUAAAAUUCUUUCACCGGGGACGAUAAUGACGGUACCCGGAGAAGAAGCCCCGGCCAACUUCGUGCCAGCAGCCACGGUAAUACGCAGGGGGCUAGCGUUGUUCAGAAUUACUGGGCGUAAAGGGCGAGUAGGCGGAGCGUGAAGUCAGAGGUGAAAUCCCAGGGCUCAACCAUGGAACUGCCUUUGAUACUGGCGAUCUUGAGUAUGAGAGAGGUAUGUGGAACUCCGAGUGUAGAGGUGAAAUUCGUAGAUAUUCGGAAGAACACCAGUGGCGAAGGCGACAUACUGGCUCAUUACUGACGCUGAGGCGCGAAAGCGUGGGGAGCAAACA
rnacentral:rRNA from 1 species